rnacentral:rRNA from 1 species
UACGUAGGGGGCGAGCGUUGUCCGGAUUUAUUGGGCGUAAAGAGCUCGUAGGCGGCUUGGUAAGUCGGGUGUGAAACCUCCAGGCUCAACCUGGAGACGCCACUCGAUACUGCCCUGGCUAGAGUCCGGUAGGGGAUCACGGAAUUCCUGGUGUAGCGGUGAAAUGCGCAGAUAUCAGGAGGAACACCAGUGGCGAAGGCGGUGAUCUGGGCCGGUACUGACGCUGAGGAGCGAAAGCGUGGGGAGCGAACAGG